UACGAAGGGGGCUAGCGUUGUUCGGAAUUACUGGGCGUAAAGCGCGCGCAGGCGGUCCUUUAAGUCGGGGGUGAAAGCCCAGAGCUCAACUCUGGAACUGCCUUCGAAACUAGAGGACUUGGGUACGGGAGAGGUGAGUGGAAUUCCGAGUGUAGAGGUGAAAUUCGUAGAUAUUCGGAAGAACACAAGUGGCGAAGGCGGCUCACUGGACUGGUAUUGACGCUGAGGUGCGAAAGCGUGGGGAGCAAACAGG
rnacentral:rRNA from 1 species